GUAAUACGUAGGGCGCAAGCGUUNUCCGGAAUUAUUGGGCGUAAAGAGCUCGUAGGCGGUUUGUCGCGUCUGCUGUGAAAGCCCGGGGCUUAACCCCGUGGUGUGCAGUGGGUACGGGCAGACUAGAGUGCAGUAGNGGAGACUGGAAUUCCUGGUGUAGCGGUGAAAUGCGCAGAUAUCAGGAGGAACACCGAUGGCGAAGGCAGGUCUCUGGGCUGUUACUGACGCUGAGGAGCGAAAGCAUGGGGAGCGAACAGGAUUAGAUACCCUGGUAGUCCAUGCCGUAAACGUUGGGCACUAGGUGUGGGGGACAUUCCACGUUNUCCGCGCCGUAGCUAACGCAUUAAGUGCCCCGCCUGGGGAGUACGGCCGCAAGGCUAAAACUCAAAGGAAUUGACGGGGGCCCGCACAAGCGGCGGAGCAUGCGGAUUAAUUCGAUGCAACGCGAAGAACCUUACCAAGGCUUGACAUACACCAGACCGGCCCAGAGAUGGGUUUUCCUCUUUGAGGUUGGUGUACAGGUGGUGCAUGGUUGUCGUCAGCUCGUGUCGUGAGAUGUUGGGUUAAGUCCCGCAACGAGCGCAACCCUCGUUCUAUGUUGCCAGCACGUGAUGGUGGGGACUCAUAGGAGACUGCCGGGGUCAACUCGGAGGAAGGUGGGGAUGACGUCAAAUCAUCAUGCCCCUUAUGUCUUGGGCUUCACGCAUGCUACAAUGGCCGGUACAAUGGGUUGCGAUACCGUGAGGUGGAGCUAAUCCCAAAAAGCUGGUCUCAGUUCGGAUCGUGGUCUGCAACUCGACCACGUGAAGUCGGAGUCGCUAGUAAUCGCAGAUCAGCAACGCUGCGGUGAAUACGUUCCCGGGCCUUGUACACACCGCCCGUCAAGUCACGAAAGUUGGUAACACCCGAAGCCGGUGGCCUAACCCUUGUGGGGGGAGCCGUCGAAGGUGGGACUGGCGAUUGGGACUAAGUCGUAACAAGGUAACCAAUCGAAUUCCCGCGGGCCGNNNU
rnacentral:rRNA from 1 species